UGAUAACAGAAUAUCGGAAGUAACGUUAUCUCUUUAUCUUUAGCUUUUGGAAAUCCGGUGAGAUACCGGUACGGUUUCAUCCCCACUGUAAUAAGGACGAACACUGCGAAGCCAUUGGAAAUUAUUUCUGAGAAGGGCAGUAAGUAGGUUAGAGUAUGUCUGAAAAAUACUCUGGAACUUUAAGUCAGGAGACGGGCUUUAGAGUGUGUGUGAAA
rfam:Ruminococcus sp. CAG:9 genomic scaffold, scf175